rnacentral:rRNA from 1 species
CAGUCGCCGCGGGAAUACAGAGGAUGCAAGCGUUAUCCGGAAUGAUUGGGCGUAAAGCGUCUGUAGGUGGCUUUUCAAGUCCGCCGUCAAAUCCCAGGGCUCAACCCUGGACAGGCGGUGGAAACUACCGAGCUGGAGUACGGUAGGGGCAGAGGGAAUUUCCAGUGGAGCGGUGAAAUGCGUUGAGAUCGAAAAGAACACCAACAGCGAAAGCACUCUGCUGGGACGACACUGACACUAAGAAACGAAAGCUAGGGGAGCAAAUGGGAUUAGAUACCCCGGUAGUCCCUGUCUCUUAUAC